UGGAGAAGUGGGCCACCAGGAACUUGUACUGGAAGCCUCCCCACAACAAUGCCAGGAAACACUGGUUAGCAUUUGUUAACUUUGAUAACAUUGUAAGGCUGUUGUGUGUAGAAUAUUCUUUUUCAGUUCUGGACUCUUUGAAGUAGGUACAAAUUCAUGUAGCAUAGAAUGAAUUGGACUAGGUUUUAAGCUACACAUUUUGGAUUCUCCAGGCCCUGAGAGGCCUGGAAAUUUAUAGGGCCCUUAAGAAAUGUAUGUUCUGAGUGAUUCAAAUAUAAUUGUCUCAUGCUAUUUUAUUUUCUUGCUACAUAUGUAUAUUUAAUAUUUGCCUACAUAGCUUAACAAUACAGACUUUCAAGUGUGCUUGCAUAUUUGUGCUACUUUCAGAAACAUCAAAUUGAAGCAUCUCUUGUCACUCAUCAAAUGGGAUGGGAUUGGGCUGCCAGCAUGGAGUUUAUCAAGGGUUGAUGAUUCUGAAGAACUUCUUGGGAAGACUAUUAACAGUAAGUAGGAGCCAGCGAAUGAUCUGAUAGAAAGUGAAUGAGGAAAAAGCUGAGAGGCAAGGAACUACUACUAAUCCAGGGCAGAGUGAAAAACAUGACUCAAUGUGACCUUUGGGGGCUGGGGCUGCAGGUUCUAGGAAGCGGCUGGGCUUUCAGGACAACACAGGGACAGACAGGCUCCAACCAGAGUUUCCUGGGCAAACCCCAGCUUGGCUUCCCCUGUACCACAGACUGAAUUCCACAACUUACUGCACACCCAACUAAACGAGGUCCCCAGGAAGUCCUUGCUUGCCUUCAUCAUGCUGCCUUCAGGAUGGGGAUCCAGAAAGAUUGAUGAUUACAAGGGGAAGAAAGACAUUGCUGGGUGAUUAGCCAGAAACACCUGUCAUCCAGUUUAUGUCUUGUGGCCAUGAAGCUGAGUGGAGGAAAUGCACCCCUGCACUUGGAGGAGGUGGUAAAGGAAGAGGCCACUAGAUGUCUGGAUGUCUUGGGCUCCACAUAGUAAGAAAGAGGUGGGUGCACAUUAGGCCUUAUGACCUUGAGAGACUCACUUGACUUCUUUAAAAACUCAGCUUUCUCAUCCUUUAAAUUGGAAAAAAUAAUACCUACUUCAGGGACAAAUGAACCCUUUUUAAAGUAAUUAGCAUCAAGAGUGUCACUAUGAUUAUGUUUAUAUGUGUUCAUGCCCCUGUCCUCCCUUCACCAAACCUUAUCUCUUUUCCUAUUAAAUGGGCAGGGUGGAUGAUCCCCAAGACUUUUCCAUCUCAGAUCCUGGAGCCUGCAAAGGUGCUUGAAACUGAAUGAGAGGUCCCCAGGGCAUCAGAAAAGAUCUAAGACUGGCCAUCACCCAGCAUCCUCAGCUCUUCCAUAAAUGUGCCAGGGCAUGAAAGAUGGCAUCAGACCUGGAAGCCAGGCAGUGUAGAGGAAACGGACCAAAUAACAACCAGAAUCUACUCUUACCUGCCUACCCUCUUACCUGUUUUGGGCAGAAGAACAGGAAGAUUUUCAUUUUUCACUAUUUGGAUUCCCCCAUUAUUUAAAAAAAAAUUUUUUGCCAUGAUCAUACAUCACUUGUGUAAAUUAAGAACAUUAAUAAGGAUGUCAGUGCUCCCUGUGGCUUUCAGGCUCAAGUGCAGAAAAGUAGAAUUCCCAUUUCCCCCCCAGAAAGCCUUUGGGACCACCCAGAGGAAUCCCUGGGCCCAGGAGGCCUGUAUGGCUGGCCCCCACAAGACAGGGACUGUUAAAAGCUGUGGCCAAGUCUUACACUGCAUUAUGGAGAAAUCCCUCACAGACUGCCAUGGUGCCUAGUCCACAUGGAAGGUGUUCUGGAAUGUCUGUAGCCUCAUAAACAGCCAGCCCUCAUCCUUAGCUCCUAGCCAUUCUCCUCCUGCCCAUCAAUCUGACCUGACCCAGAACAUCAGGGUGUCUGUCCUUCAGAAACAGUUUCAGUAUCUGGUGACUUAUUUAUAGAGAGGAAGCCAAACUCUGAGGGCUAGGAGUGGCAGGUGCAGAGACCACAGCAAGAGGAGAGUUUACCCGGCUAGCAACCCCUCCCCUGAAGACCCAUCAGAGACAGCCUAGGGUCCAAACAAGAUGGGGAUCUCACUGAAGGAUCAGAAAUAGGACCAGUAUCUCCCUAUAACCUCUGGUUUUAGGGAGAGUUGUACAGACCCUGUAGUGUUGUAAGAACAACACUGGAUCAGAGGCAGAGUCCUGAUUUCUGGGUCCAACCCUUCCAAAUUCAGAAGAGACACUUAAUUUAUGUUUUUGUUGUUGUUAUUGUUUUGGUGGUGCUGGGGAUUAAACCCAGGGCCUCCCACAUGCUAGGCAGGUGCUUUACCACUGAUCUGUAGCCCAGCCCUUUUUAUUUUGAGACAGGGUUUCAUUAAGUUGCUGAGGCUGGUCUUGAAUUUGCAAUCCUGCCUCAGCCUCCCAAGCAGGAUUGGAGAUGUGCACCACCAAGCCCAACCUAUGUAUGUUCUUGACCAUCUGCAAUGCAAGUCAUUGGAACUUCUCCUGCUAUUGUUGUCAUCUAUCAAUAAAAUACUAAACUGCUAAGAGAAAGAACGAAGGAGUGAUUACAACUGUUAUUCUUAACAAUCUGACUUGCUGUGAACCGGACACUCUUCUGAGAUGCUAGAUAUCUGAACUCAUUUAACUCUCACUAUAACGCUCUUAGAUUGAUAUCAUUCCCCCUAUUUUAUGGUUGAGAAAAUUGAGGUAUUAAAUAACUAAAUAGUUAAAUUAUUAGUUCUAGAUUAAAUAAUUAGCUCCAGGUCCCAUCCCUUCACCCCUGCACAUAUACAUAUGUUUGAACAUGUAAAAUGUCUGCUACAAUGAACAGCAAACCGAGUUGUUAACUCUGGAGGAGAGGAUUUGGGGGAAUUUGUGUUGUCAGAAGGCAGGAGAACAGGAAGACUUUCAUUUUUUACAGUUCAGAUUCCUCUAAUAUUAUUUGAAACUUAUUUUGGUCAUGACCACACAUCACUUGUGUAAAUUAAGACAAUUAAUAAGAAUUUCAUAGUUCCCUGUGGCUUUCAGACUCAAAUGCAGAAGAAUAUAAGUGGUGACAUAGACUCCCAGGGCAGAGGACCAUUUUUGUUCCCAGAAAGCCUUUGGCUGCAGCCCCUGUCUCGGAGCUGACAGAGGGAGAGAACCAGGUUCUCACAUUAGAACCCCUGCAGACCUUAGGCAACCAGCCAGUACAGGGCCAUCUGCUAUGUCACAGAGCCCACAGGCCAGUUGUGAAGCCUCAAAAGCCAUUAUAAACAAUGUAUAUUUAAAAAUAUGGUAAAAAGUAUGGUAAACAAGUCCCUAAAAAUACUGGCUGAAAGGGGUCAGCUGCUUGCAAGGCUGCAUCUUCCACUAUUUCUUGAUCUUUUAAACGAAUUUUCUACUUUAUUUGCUCACUGCUGAGUAACUACCCACAACAGAGCAGUCCUUGGCACCUCCCUUUAGGUUAGUGUGUCUGCGUUUCUGGACUCAGCCAUGUUUUGUGGAUUGUGUCACUAAGCUUUGUUUUUAAAUCAAGUCAAUGAUCCUUUUAUUUUCGGAGGAAUUUGUUUAUGGCUGUGAUUAUGAUGUUUGUACUUCUGUCGCCUCUGGACCUGCCUUUGUUGCU
rnacentral:lncRNA from 1 species